UACGUAGGGGGGCAAGCGUUGUCCGGAUUUAUUGGGCGUAAAGAGCUCGUAGGUGGUUCGGUAAGUCGGAUGUGAAAUCUCCAGGCUCAACCUGGAGGGGUCAUUCGAUACUGCCGUGACUAGAGGUCGGUAGGGGAGUGUGGAAUUCCUGGUGUAGCGGUGAAAUGCGCAGAUAUCAGGAAGAACACCCGUGGCGAAGGCGGCUCUCUGGGACGGUACUGACGCUGAGACGCGAAAGCGUGGGGAGCGAAACAGG
rnacentral:rRNA from 1 species